GUUCUCCAGUCGUCGUCGUCUUCCAUCUCUUCUUAUUUCAGCACCUUCAUCUUUUACAGCUUUCCCUUCUCCGCUUGAACGUAUACGUUCAUUAGCAUUUAGCUCAAUCAUUAAUUGCAGAUAUCCUAAGGACAUGAAUCGAUUUCCAUUCCACCAGCUCCACAUUAUAUAAGUCCCUCAUCUCUUUCUUCCUUCCUCUCAUCACCACAGUAACAAAAAUCAAUUUAUCAAAUCCACAAAAGGGAACAGAGAACGAAAUUUACCGGCAACCCCCAUGUGUCUCUCUACAGUGACGUGUUGCUGGUUUGGUUCAGAGUGAGCUAUGGCUAGAUAUAAAUUUAUAUUUAGGAAGCAAGAAGCACAACGAAAUGGCUUUCUAAUUGGGCUGGAGCUCUUUUUAUUGAUGAACAGAGUCAAAAGAUCUAAGACACGUUUGAUGUCGCGUUCAGAAAACAGGGCCUGGAAGUAUAGAAAUCUCUUCUGAGCAAAAAUUUCAUGUUGACUUUUUGCCGUGUACGUCUUCUCACGGACAUGAAGAAGAGGAGCGCUUUGUGAGGGAGAUAUUGAGGCAGAGAGGAAGCACAAAGAAGAAGAAGAACUUAGUUUAUCUUUAAAGAUUAGGUUCUCUGUCUAAAUCUCACCAUUCAAACAUCUGCACUUUGAGUUUUUGGACUUGGGUAUUAGGAAAUAUUUGAGGAUAUUCUGAUUUAUGGUACCAAAUGUAAUGUUUGGUGAUCUUGAUGUCUUCUAUAAUAGGUUUCAACACACCGAGCUUCUCUCAAGUGUAACAAGAGGUUGCUUUCUCAUCUAUCAAUGAUGAUUUGACAAUAGACCAUCCCCAAUUUUUCAUAUAAUCAAUUAUUGCGGAACUCAAGUACAUCCACACAUGUAUUCCAUUUCUCUAAUUUGGUCUCUGAGUUUAGCUUUGUCAUCCUUCAAUCUCUCUUUAUGUGUAUAUAUCUCUAUUAAAUUUAGAACUAUGUUGCUAUACGAUAGUAUAUAUAGAGCUCCACUGUUUUGUGGAUGUUUCCUACUUCCAAGUUGCUUCUCUAUAUAAACCUCUCUUUUAAUUUUUGUAUUACUGCGUGCUAAUAUUGGUGGAUUUUGAUUUGUUGUAUACACCCGCCAUUGAUAUAUGGAGCAUAGGCUGAAUCUUUCCCGGAGUAUUGGUGUGAUAAACUCACUUUUCCCUGGAAAGAAUGUGAUCUGCUGGGGAAACCUUCCAUGGACACCAUAUCUGGGGAAACUUGGAGGAAUAGGGUAGAUGCUUACUGGGAUCUCUUGAGUCCUGCAAUUCAAUCAGACACCAUGAGGAACAUAAUGGACAUGAAAGCAAACAUGGGUUCCUUUGCUACUGCUCUGAAUGACAAAGAUGUUUGGGUUAUGAAUGGCGUUCCUGAAGACGGGUCUAACACACUUAAACUGAUAUACGACAGAGGCCUGAUGGGUGCUGUUCAUAGCUGGUGUGAAGCCUUCUCAACUUACCCAAGGACUUACGAUCUAUUCAUGUGUUUCUUUGUCACCUUUUUUCUUUUAUAUAAGAAAACUAAUUUCUUAUUUUGUAUUAUUUUAAAUAAAUUUAUUAGGUGAUGUUUUGAAGUUUGUGUGAUUUAUUGAUCUUGAUGGAUGAUGGUGUAAUUUUUAAUAAAUUCUAUUCUUCGGAUAAUUACAUUAUAUUUUAGCUGAGCAAUCAGGGAGGAAAAUAU